rnacentral:lncRNA from 1 species
AUGUUGUAUCCUCUAGGCUAUGUCAUUCUUUCCAAGGUUGUGCCCUGCCCCCUUCCCUUCUGUUUCACAGCUACUGAGCCCACUUGCUGCCAACUGCUAAAGCCCAUGUGCCUAGAGCCUGAGCUCUGCAACAAGAGAAGCCACCGCGCACUGCAACUAGAGAAUAGCCCCCACUUGCUGCAACUACAGAAAGCCCAUAUGCAGCAACGAAGACCCACCACAGCCAAAAAACAAAUAAAUGAGAGUACUCAGUAUAAACAUCUGAUGAACCAAUACAGGGUCUUGGAUAUGAAGCGGAAUUCCCUAAAACUCAGCACUGACUCUUCUUCCUCACAAUGAGAGUACCAGACUUAGGAGGAAAAGUAAAUUUGAGGGGAAAUAAGUUUAGGAUGGUUGAAUACAUAUGUUGAGUUGCCUAACCUGAAGUAAAAUACCAUUAUCUGGGGGAACAAAAUUCCCAGAAGCUCUAAAUAGAUGGUUCUUCAUAUAAACCGAAAGAGCAGGGACUUCCCUGGGGGUCCAGUGAUGAAGAGUCCAGGCUUCUAAUGCAGGGGCAUGGGUCUGAUCCCUGAUCAGAGAACUAAGAUCCUACAUGCUGUGCCAAAAAAAUGAAACAAAACAAAACAACAACCAACUGAAAGAGCAGAUCAGGUGUGAAGCAGAAUAGGGGACAUCUCUGCAGUAGAAGGGGUGGGGCCCAGGAUAUUGAACUUCCUGUGGGGCUUCUGUCACAUUCCAGCUCCUUCCUUGUAUAACACGAGAGCUUUGUGCUUUCAGUCAAGAUACUGAAACCUACUUUCUCAGAGCCUUUAUUAAUUUCCCAAACCAAAGAAACCUCCACCUUUGACACAAAAGUGUCAUAGCUUAGGUAGAUUUAUAGACUACAUGUGCUAAGCACUGAAGCCCUAUAAAUGGACAUGAUGUCAAUAAUGGGUCGGGAGAAACUGUCCCAGCUAUGGGGUUAUUGUCAGCAUUUAAAGGGCCUAGUGAACUCUGGAAUAGAUCAAGUAGACAAUAGUCUCUAGGAAGUCAAACCCAAUAGCCCAAUUAAGGGUGGGGUGCAGGUGAAAUACACAGUAUUCUGAGGCAAUGGAGAUAGCAGGCAAUACUCAGAGACAGGUAGACGCAACAGUAAUGCCACAGGAAGCCAUUUCCUAGAUAUUGAGGGCAAAGACUGGGCAGUGUGUCAAGAAGGGUGGAGUGAUAGCAAGGACUCCCAGUUCCAGCAGCAGCUAUCAAGACACUCUGAUGGAAUAUUACUCAGCCAUAAAAAGGAAUGAAAUUGGGUCAUUGUGGAGAUGUGGGUGGACCUCGAAUCUGUCAUACAGAGUGAAGUAAG